AAGCGUACAAGUUUCCGUAGGUGAACCUGCGGAAGGAUCAUUAUUGAAAGCGACCUGCAGUUCUGAGAAAUUGAUGCUGGCCUUCAUCGGCAAUGUGCACGUUUUUUGGGGCUGUAGGACUCACCUUCAUCCACCUGUGAACCUCUGUAGGCUUGGAUACCCCUCGCAGACUUUUUUGUCUGUGGAUUGAAAGAUGCUCUUAGCAGCUUCUUUUGCUUUCCAAGUCUAUGUCAUUUAUACUCUUUGUAUGUUUUGAAUGUCUUGUUUAUUGGACCUAGUCCUUUAAAACUCAAUACAACUUUCAACAACGGAUCUCUUGGCUCUCGCAUCGAUGAAGAACGCAGCGAAAUGCGAUAACUAAUGUGAAUUGCAGAAUUCAGUGAAUCAUCGAGUCUUUGAACGCACCUUGCGCCCUCUGGUAUUCCGGAGGGCAUGCCUGUUUGAGUGUCAGUGAAUCUCUCAACCUCUGCUUCUUUUUCGGAAGUCAGAGGCUUGGAUGUGGGGGUUUGCCGGUCAUUUUUGAUCUGCUCCUCUAAAUAGCAUUAGCGGCGACCGUCUUUUUCCAAAAGGUCUAAGCAACCGUGUGAUAAUUAUCUUGCGGUUUGUGGCUACUUUUUUGGUGUCAUUGCUCUGGGGUCUGAGGGGUUGCUUUUAGUAAGCUCCCUUUGCCUUCCUCUCACGAGGAUACCUGUCCCUGCAUUGAUAGUGAUGUGUCUGUUCAGCUUCUAACGGUCUGCUUGCCAGACAAUUCUUGACAUUGACCUCAAAUCAGGUAGGACUACCCGCUG
rnacentral:rRNA from 1 species